rnacentral:rRNA from 1 species
UUUUCAGCCGCCGCGGUAAUACAGAGGGUGCAAGCGUUAAUCGGAAUUACUGGGCGUAAAGCGUGCGUAGACGGUUAUGUAAGUUAGGUGUGAAAGCCCCGGGCUCAACCUGGGAAUUGCAUUUAAGACUGCAUAGCUAGGGUGCGGAAGAGGGAAGCGGAAUUUCCGGUGUAGCGGUGAAAUGCGUAGAUAUCGGAAGGAACAUCAGUGGCGAAAGCGGCUUCCUGGUCCAGCACCGACGUUCAGGCACGAAAGCGUGGGGAGCAAACAGGAUUAGAAACCCGCGUAGUCC